rnacentral:rRNA from 1 species
UGAGGCUUUUUCAGAGUGUAAACAGCUCUGAGAAUAAAAGCGGGGUAAGACCGGUGCCAGCCGCCGCGGUAACACCGNCCGCUCAAGUNGUGACCGCUAUUAUUGGGCCUAAAGCGUCCGUAGCCGGUUCGGUAAGUCCCUGGGUAAAUCCUNCCGUUUAACGGUAGGAAUUCUGGGGAUACUGCCGGACUCGGGGUCGUGAGAAGUCGGAGGUACUCCGGGGGUGGGGGUGAAAUGCUGUAAUCCUCGGGGGACCACCAGUGGCGAAGGCGUCCGACUAGAGCGGGCCCGACGGUGAGGGACGAAAGCCAGGGGAGCGAACGGGAUUAGAUACCCCGGUAGUCCUGGCCGUAAACGCUGUGGGCUAGGUGUUGCAUGCUCUACGAGGGCAUGCAGUGCCGUAGAGAAGUUGAUAAGCCUACCGCCUGGGAAGUACUACCGCAAGGUAGAAACUUAAAGGAANNGGCGGGGGAGCACCACAAGG